rnacentral:rRNA from 1 species
CUUAACACAUGCAAGUCGAGCGGGGAAAAGUAGCUUGCUACCUGACCUAGCGGCGGACGGGUGAGUAAUGCUUAGGAAUCUGCCUAUUAGUGGGGGACAACAUCUCGAAAGGGAUGCUAAUACCGCAUACGUCCUACGGGAGAAAGCAGGGGACCUUCGGGCCUUGCGCUAAUAGAUGAGCCUAAGUCGGAUUAGCUAGUUGGUGGGGUAAAGGCCUACCAAGGCGACGAUCUGUAGCGGGUCUGAGAGGAUGAUCCGCCACACUGGGACUGAGACACGGCCCAGACUCCUACGGGAGGCAGCAGUGGGGAAUAUUGGACAAUGGGGGGAACCCUGAUCCAGCCAUGCCGCGUGUGUGAAGAAGGCCUUUUGGUUGUAAAGCACUUUAAGCGAGGAGGAGGCUACCGAGAUUAAUACUCUUGGAUAGUGGACGUUACUCGCAGAAUAAGCACCGGCUAACUCUGUGCCAGCAGCCGCGGUAAUACAGAGGGUGCAAGCGUUAAUCGGAUUUACUGGGCGUAAAGCGCGCGUAGGUGGCCAAUUAAGUCAAAUGUGAAAUCCCCGAGCUUAACUUGGGAAUUGCAUUCGAUACUGGUUGGCUAGAGUAUGGGAGAGGAUGGUAGAAUUCCAGGUGUACGGUGAAAUGCGUAAAGAUCUGGAGGAAUACCGAUGGCGAAGGCAGCCAUCUUGGCCUAAUACUGGA